rnacentral:tRNA from 1 species
GAAAUAUAAAGAAAUUGAAUUUCUAAUUCAUAAUUAUAAUAAUUUAUUUUAUUAAUAUUUCU